CUCAGUCCAGCCUGCGCCUGCUCUGCUCGCAUUUCAUGCUCCAGGUGGCACAGUCUACAGAGAGGAGGGAGGACAGGCAAAAUUCUCUGCCCUGCUCAGGACCGGCUCUGUGUCGCCGAUCUUUAUGGAGGCGGAUGACAGGUUGUGGGAACAACAGCUUGAAUUACGGAAAGAAGUUUCCCCACUGAGUUAAUCUGCAGUGGCUGGAGGUGACCUUCUGGAGACGGCGAUUAAUCACGGGCCGUGGCGGGCGCCGCGCCACGCCGGGCCCUUUGGGGGAAUACUAAUUCCACUACAAGAUAAAUCAUAAUUUGACAAUAAUCAUCUGCCCUAAUCACUCCAA